rnacentral:rRNA from 1 species
AGUCGAGCGAUGAGAUCACUUCGGUGAAGGAUUAGCGGCGAACGGGUGAGGAACACGUGAAGAAUCUGCCUUCAACUCUGGGAUAACUCCGGGAAACCGGGGCUAAUACCGGAUAUGAGCCUUGAUCGCAUGAUCGGGGCUGGAAAGUUUUUCGGUUGAAGAUGACUUCGCGGCCUAUCAGCUUGUUGGUGAGGUAAUGGCUCACCAAGGCGACGACGGGUAGCCGGCCUGAGAGGGCGACCGGCCACACUGGGACUGAGACACGGCCCAGACUCCUACGGGAGGCAGCAGUGGGGAAUAUUGGGCAAUGGAGGAAACUCUGACCCAGCGACGCCGCGUGCGGGAUGAAGGCCUUCGGGUUGUAAACCGCUUUCAGCAGGGAAUAAGCGCAAGUGAAGGUACCUGCAGAAGAAGCACCGGCUAACUAUGUGCCAGCAGCCGCGGUAAUACAUAGGGUGCAAGCGUUGUCCGGAAUUAUUGGGCGUAAAGAGCUCGUAGGUGGUUUGUUACGUCGGUUGUGAAAUUCAGGGGCUCAACCCCUGACUUGCAGCCGAUACGGGCAAGCUAGAGUUUGGUAGGGGAGACUGGAAUUCCUGGUGUAGCGGUGGAAUGCGCAGAUAUCANGAGGAACACCGAUGGCGAAGGCAGGUCUCUGGGCCAAUACUGACACUGAAGAGCGAAAGCGUGGGGAGCGAACAGGAUUAGAUACCCUGGUAGUCCACGCCGUAA